rnacentral:lncRNA from 1 species
GAGUCCCAGGUAGAGUUUUGCCCUUGAGCAGCUUCAUGAGGUCAAGGAGGGGCGCUCACUCCACUCUGCACGGAAACACUGAGUGGAAUGAAAAUACAACCGGAGAGAAUGUCCUCCCCACCAGAAGGUCGCCUCGAGACAGGCCUCCACGCAUCGUUGCUGACCUCACACAGUGAUACCUCUGCAUGCCGGGGAGCAAUUCCAUCCAAAAAACAAAAGAGAGCAAGAGAGAAGACAGUGGGUGAAGUCCUGGUUCCAGACUCCCCUUUUUGCCGGGAUAUGAUGGAUCUGUCAGCUGGUGCCUAGAGUCCUAGAGAGCUAGAGAUGGAGGGAAAUUCAGAUCAUCUAAACCCUUCAGCCCUUCACUGGACAGAAGAGGAAACUGAGGCUCCAUCUGCAUGACGUUCCCAGAGUCACGGCACAAAUUCAUGGAAGAAGCAGCAGGAAACUCAGUUCUCCAGUCUGGGUCCAAUGUGUGUUUUAGAAAUAUCUCCACAGGGUUAAUGACUCAAUUUUUCAUGCAUGAUUGCUAGUAAUGACAAUCAUGUUAUGUUUGUUUCUGUAGCUUUGGAAAUCACUCCUUCCACUUGAGUUUCAGGUCCCAACUGUCCACACCUGCAGGAGUGAGGUUUUGCUGAGACUGAUAAGGCACUCACAUUUUGUGGGAGUUGAAUUGUCUCUGUAGCCUAGAAUCUAGAUUUUUUUCCCUCCUCUGCUCUCAGUGAACGGAGAAUUCCAUCUCGGUACAAUCUGUGAACCAUUCUGCAGUAAGAUUGUCAUCGUCUCAUUCAUACUACCUGGUCGGUAACACAAAGGGCUGUAAUUGAUGUGGUUCAGAGACUCACAUCCAAGCAAUAAAAAUGAAUCCCUUAUGGUGGUCUGCAGCAACGCA